UUUUCUACCUUCAUCCACGCUGUUUCAUCUUCUGCAGCCUGCCAGUAUCUUGCUAUUUUAGCCAUCUCAAAAGCAAAAUAAUACAAUCUAAGAUCUGGCAGGCCAAGCCCUCCCUUCUCUUUAUAUGCACAUAAAUUUCUCAGUUUAAUUCGUGGUCUUUUCCCAGCCCAUAAGAAAUGUUUUAUUACAUCAUCCAGUUUCCUAAAUAUGUUAGAUGGUAUCUUAAUUGGUAACAUCAUUGCCACAUAGCUGAACUGUGGGGCAAUUAUUUUUAUAAUAUUAAUUUUUCCCCACAAUGUUAGUUUUAGUUUUUCCCACUUAUCAAGGUUUGUUUUUAUCUUUUGAAGUAAAGGGUUAAAGUUUACUUUUUUGUGUCAU